rnacentral:rRNA from 1 species
UACAGAGGGUGCAAGCGUUAUCCGGAUUCACUGGGUUUAAAGGGUGCGUAGGUGGGCAGGUAAGUCAGUGGUGAAAUCUCCGGGCUUAACUCGGAAACUGCCGUUGAUACUAUCUGUCUUGAAUAUCGUGGAGGUUAGCGGAAUAUGUCAUGUAGCGGUGAAAUGCUUAGAUAUGACAUAGAACACCCAUUGCGAAGGCAGCUAACUACACGAUCAUUGACACUGAGGCACGAAAGCGUGGGGAGCAAAC